GUUCUGGAAGGAUGACAUCACUCAAAAUGUGAGGACCCAGCAGACAGAGCACACGCCCUGGCUCCAUGCCCCAGAGGCCUGUCCGAGGAGCAGGGGCAAGCACAAGGAGAAUCUUUGACUCCUGUUCCCUAAGCUUUCCUUCCAUUAGAGCCCCAUGACCAGGGUGAGCAGGGAGCAACGCUUUAACUCUGAAGGGGUUUCGGAGGUCCUGAACCAAGAGGUGACCAGCCACAC